AAGCAGUGGUAUCAACACAAGCAGAGUUUCAUCAAUAAUAAGCCCUGUUAUUAUAUACAUUAUUGCAGUAGACAAAUCCAAUUGACGCAUGCUGCAGCAAAUCACUGUCAGUUUACUGUCAAAAUAACAAGGGCUAAAUGAAUUUACAGGAACAAUGGCAGAGAUCCAUCAGUGGUCCUCACAUCUAAAGCACUGCUGGAGAAGAAACAUUCAGAAACCAUUCCUCCUGCUCCACUUUUUAUGCUUAAAAGAAAAUAUUUCUGUCCUGUACCAGUUAAGGGUACAAGAUUGUUUGGUUGGUUUUUUUAUUGUUUGGUUUUUCCAUUCUGUUGUAAUCAGCUGAAAAUAGACUAGAAAAGCAAUAUCAAAUAGCAUAUCUUUCAAGUCUCACAUUCUGAUCUUCUCUGUGGGGAAAAUAUUAGUUAAUCAGUGCUGGUGAAUGGAGGUGGCUGAUAUGAAAGAGGUGCAACAAGAUGGAACUUGUCUUUGCUGCUU